GUCCGAAUAGUUUAAGUAAAACAUUACACUUGUACUGUAAAAUUGAUAGUUCUUCGGAAU
rnacentral:tRNA from 1 species